AUGAAGAUGAGGCACCACCAAGAGACACUCUGCAGAGGAGCUCCCAACUUUGGGAAGAACAAGGUUUGGGAUUUUAGCUCUGCUUUCAAUCUUUUUCAGAAUAAGAGGAUACAAACCAAAACAAGACAUAAUAGAGACAUGCAGGAAGUGGAAACGAUACACACCACCAUGUGAACCUAGGAGAGAUCAACAUACAAUUUACAUAAGUCACCGUAAACAAGCUUUGGGUGGAACUGAGGCAAGAAAAGAAUGGCAGUGUGUUGCUGCGACUUCCCUGUGUAUAAAAUAAUUUCUGUGCUCUUGCACAAGCAGAAGACAAGUGACGGAAAGCAACAGGGCACAGGCCCUUGCAAGGGAUGCCCAUGCCCAGUAACCAGAGACGACUGAUCUGUAAUGAAUAAAAUAAGUAGUCUGCCUAAUUCCUCAGCUGCAGUAUUUUGGUGUACAUUGAAAUCCAGAAGGAGCACAUUGAUUUUCAUUUGGCCAUCCAGGAUAAGUGAAGAUGGGAACCUCCUUAAUAAGCACAACUCAAAUCUCUGCAGCUCGUAAGACAAAUAACCAAAGAAGAAGGCACGCUACCAUGUGGAUAUUCACUCCCCUUUAUUGCAGAGGAAAAACUUCUGCAGAAGGAUGGGAGAAACAACAAAGGGCAGUAACAUUUUCAUCUGUCACUACAAUCCUAGCUAUUUUAUUUGCUGACUUCUGUGGUAUUUCACAUAAGGUUUAAUUAUAUACAGAUUCACAGCCACCUAAUAUAUUGACAACAGCUCUGGCUUUGACAGGGUUGGCCUGUUCAAAGUCACAUUUAGGCACAAUUAUGAUCCAGAAUUAGAUCUCCUCCAUAUUCCCUAAGAGGCCCGAGUGGUAGCAACCACAGAUCUUUGUUGGAUUCACCAUUGUGAAUCUCUCUUCUGGAGAUGAAAAUUUUACACCUGAAUUACACAAAGGCUUUUUGAAAGUAGCUAAGCUCUGUUGAAAUUUUUAGAAUAGAAAUUGUGAAAGAAAAGGAAGUCCCUAUGCUUCUCCUUGCUGUACAGUACUUGAGAUUACUGCUUUACUUUUCUCAAGAAUUUUCUGAUAACAAAAACUGCCUUAUUCAUACCAACACAAAACUAACUCUCCAUUGCAAGGCACAGUGGUACUGUUUUAUCAUAAAUCAGUGAGAAGAUUAGAAUAUAUGAUUAUUUUUUUUUUUCAGGUGGAGACAUAGUGGUAAAAACAACCAAGCCAGGUAACACAAUAAUUUGACAGAAAACCACAAGAUGAAAGGAAGUAAAACAAUAUGAUACAGAUGAAAGGUGAUAAAGCAAAAACAUGACAAGAACUGGGCGUGAAGUAACAGCAUUAGGACACGAGAUAAUAUGAAGUGAUGAAAAAGAAUCAGCCUGAUAUGUUUUCUGAUGAUGCUACAUAGGAAGAUGCAUUAUGAGGAUACGUUACAGUGACAAAACAUACUUUUGGACUACACAACAGACAAUGCAUAAAUGGAAAAAACAGAAAACCACACAGGAGAUAGAACAAAACAUUCUGCUAUUUAUACAUUAAUGAUAUUAUUUCAAUUUUAAGUAGCUGAAACCAAUAGAAGUGUUCAUGUGGAGACAUUAAAUUAAUUGAAGGCAUUCAUUUGAUACAAAUAACCUAAAUGUCUCAUCAAAGACAGCAGCAGCCAGCAGAAAUACUCUGCUCUCCAAGUACCAAUACCACAUUCCAGGGCUGUGUGGUAUAACUAUCAGGGUGACAAGACUGAUGUGUGACUGGGAUUUAGGAGAGUGAGAGAGCAGCCCUUGACCCUUACCUAUGUGAGCAAGAGAAGAUGUGCAGAUGAAAGUUCCAGUCUAUUUUAUUCCACUGUAAUAUAUCAUACUGUUGAGUCCUAUAUAAUAAAGUCGGGUGCCUCUGCUAUGUUUAUGUAUCGCUGUAUUUAAAACAAGGUAAAAUCACUGAAGUUUAGAC
rnacentral:lncRNA from 1 species